rnacentral:rRNA from 1 species
CCUACGGGAGGCAGCAGUGAGGAAUAUUGGUCAAUGGUCGGGAGACUGAACCAGCCAAGCCGCGUGAGGGAGGAAGGUACAGCGUAUCGUAAACCUCUUUUGUCAGGGAACAAAGGCGGGGACGUGUCCCCGGAUGAGUGUACCUGAAGAAAAAGCAUCGGCUAACUCCGUGCCAGCAGCCGCGGUAAUACGGAGGAUGCGAGCGUUAUCCGGAUUUAUUGGGUUUAAAGGGUGCGCAGUCGGUCUGUUAAGUCAGCGGUCAAAGCCCGGGGCUCAACCCCGACCCGCCGUUGAUACUGGCAGUCUUGAGUAGGAGAGAAGUAGGCGGAAUGCGCGGUGUAGCGGUGAAAUGCAUAGAUAUCGCGCAGAACUCCGAUUGCGAAGGCAGCAUGCUGGCUCCACACUGACGCUGAGGCACGAAAGUGUGGGUAUCGAACAGGAUUAGAUACCCUUGUAGUC